GCCGCAUGCCCCCUUCCUCGCCUCACAUUUUCCGCCAAGCCCUAACUGGAUCCCCGCACACUCGCCAUCCGGCUCCCUCUCGAGGCGGAAGGUCCCCGGGAUCGGGAAGGGAAACCACCGAAUUCAAUGACACGUUGGGUUUCCUCUUCUCAUCAUUCUCCCCGUAACCGACCCCUCAACCCGUCGCCAAUGGCGAUUCCACCAUCUAGUAUCAUCUACCAGAGAACAAAACUUGUUAACUUUUAAAGCCCGAAUCCGUGUGGUCGGUAUGAACUCAUCACCGCGCGCUUCGCUGCCCGUGACAUAUGCUCAUUAAACAUUUACAACAUGGGGACGAUCGUAACGCUACCAAAACGGGGAACGUGGGGCGGGGUGGGAAGAGGGGCUUCCCGAGAAAGGGUUAAGCUAGAAACCGUCUUCGACACCAACACGCGGGAGGGAGGGCGAGCGCUUUUCACCGAAACCAGCGCCCACCCUCUCCUGGCGAGUGCUGACAACUUCCUGAAGAGAGACAAAGGAAGCCACCCCAGGGACUGAGGGACCCCAGAGAGCUGGGAGACCUAACUGAUAAGCUACCGCCCGUCUCUGGCUUUGCCCGUCUCUGGCUUUGCCCAAUGACUUUGGGCAGCCUCUCUGUCUUCCUGGGCUUCCAUCUCUCCAUCCGCAAAAUGGGAAGCGUAAUCCCUAUCUAUGUGGCUUAUGGAUGUGAAAGCUGCCUGCCUUCUGUUUGUGCUACACUGCAUUUCCCAAAGGGCUUUCAUGGAGAAGGACAGGUGUGACUGUCCCCAGUUGGCAGCUAAAGAACUGAGGCUCCCAGAAGUUCGGUUAAUUGCUUCAAGAUGCUGGAGCAACAGACUCAAGGUGAGAACCCAGGUCAUACCCCUCCCAUUCCAGACCCUUCCACAACCCUACAGGAGA